rnacentral:rRNA from 1 species
UAAUACGGAGAGUGCAAGCGUUGUUCGGAAUUACUGGGCUUAAAGAGCAUGUAGGCGGGACGUCAAGUGUCGGGUGAAAACCCCAGUCUCAGCCUGGGAACUGCCCGGCAAACUGGCGUUCUUGAGGCAGGUAGAGGUGACCGGAACAACUGGUGGAGCGGUGAAAUGCGUAGAUAUCAGUUGGAACGCCGGCGGCGAAAGCGGGUCACUGGACCUGUCCUGACGCUGAGGUGCGAAAGCGUGGGUAGCGAACGGGAUUAGAUACCCCGGUAGUCCACGCCGUAAACGAUGCGCACUAGGUAUGGGAGGUUUUGACGCCGACCGUGCCGAAGCAAAAGUGGUAAGUGCGCCGCCUGGGGAGUACGGCCGCAAGGCUA